GUGGGGAAUAUUGCGCAAUGGGCGGGAGCCUGAACCAGCCAAGUCGCGUGAAGGAAGAAGGAUCUAUGGUUCGUAAACUUCUUUUGCAGGGGAAUAAAGUGCAGGACGUGUCCUGUUUUGUAUGUACCCUGAGAAUAAGGAUCGGCUAACUCCGUGCCAGCAGCCGCGGUAAUACGGAGGAUCCGAGCGUUAUCCGGAUUUAUUGGGUUUAAAGGGUGCGUAGGUGGUUUGAUAAGUCAGCGGUGAAAGUUUGCAGCUUAACUGUAAAAAUGCCGUUGAAACUGUCGGACUUGAGUGUAAAUGAGGUAGGCGGAAUGCGUGGUGUAGCGGUGAAAUGCAUAGAUAUCACGCAGAACUCCGAUUGCGAAGGCAGCUUACUAAGCUACAACUGACACUGAAGCACGAAGGCGUGGGGAUCAAACAGGAUUAGAUACCCGAGUAGUCC
rnacentral:rRNA from 1 species